UCCUCACAGGAGCAUCAGAAUAUUCCCAUCUUUCUUUUUUUGUCAUUCUCCUUCGUCUUCAGACUGUCACAGCCACUUCAUGAAGGAAAAUAUUCUUUCUUGUACAUUGAAUGUAAUUUGCCCCUUCCUGGAGUCCAUUCCCUUUGGGUUGGUGUUGGCUGAACUUUGCAGUCUUCACUGAAGGGGGAACCCUUUCUCACUGUUCCCUGGGAGAGCAGCCCCUUUGAAGUCACAGCUGGCUUGACUAAACUCAUUUCCUCCAUCCACAAUGUGCCUCUGAUGUAGUGUUGGCUAAGUCUCCCUCUUGCCGGCUCCCGCUCUUGAAACAGACCCAAGUGCAAUGUUCAAUGUGAGUGUUUGGCUUGGCUUAAAUUUGGCCGAAUCAUCUGUACUUUGUUUCAUUUGAAAGCCUUACUUUUUUUCUUUCUCUCUCUCUUUUCUCUUGCAACUAGUUCAUUCCAGAUGUUUUUGAUUUGUCUUUUAGUGGUCUACUCCACCCAGUUCCUAAAUCAGUAAAUCAUUUUCAUGCUUCUUCCAAAAUCUAAGGAAAGAAAAUGCUCAAUUAGAGGGAAACUGAUUAUAGGUCUCAUAGAGCUUACACUUGGGGAUGGCUGCUUUCCUCAGGAACUACCUUUGAAAGGCUUCCCUCUUCCCAGAGCAAGACAGAACUGUUUCUACUGAAUCAUCACAUGGUUUGAGGUAGGUCAGAUAUUUUCCAGAAAGAUAUAUCUUAACAUCUCGUGGAAGGUUAUAUGAGGAAUAAAGCAGAUUCUGGUAAUACUUGCGAUGAGACCCAUCUUUGGGAACAGAGGAGAGAGAGAAUGUGGGGGUGGAAAUGGGACUUAGUUGGUUCCAUCCUUCCUUGUUUCUAUGCAGAUUCAUCCCCAAAGCAAAGCAAUCCCUGGUGACUUGGGAGGAGAGGUGCAGGGAUGAGGAGCUAGUUCCAGAAACUGGAAUUCACAGAGAAAAGUAAGCAGCGGAGACAGCAAUAUGUCAAAUGGAAACAGGAAGGGAGACAGGCCCUUGCCUCUGAUCACCCCUCAAUGAUUCAGGCUAAGUCCAGAGGCUGUUGUGAGGCUAAUAAUAACCAUGAAAACAAUAAUAGCUGCUAACACAAACAAACAGUGUGAUCAUUGUUUCAUUUCAUACACACACACACACACACACACACACACACACACACACAUGAACACAUACAAGGUACGAGUGAUCUUACUCUGUUUACUGAU
rnacentral:lncRNA from 1 species